UACGUAGGCAGCGAGCGUUGUUCGGAGUUACUGGGCGUAAAGGGUGCGUAGGCGGUCCCUUAAGUUUGGUGUGAAAUCUCCCGGCUCAACUGGGAGGGUGCGCCGGAUACUGAGGGGCUAGAGUGCGGGAGAGGAAAGUGGAAUUCCUGGUGUAGCGGUGAAAUGCGUAGAUAUCGGGAGGAACACCUGUGGCGAAAGCGGCGCACUGGACCACAACUGACGCUGAGGCGCGAAAGCUAGGGGAGCAAACAGG
rnacentral:rRNA from 1 species